CCUGACUGAACUUUGUUCUGAGUUAACCUCUUCAAAAGAGUCAAUUUAUGGUGUUUAUGCCAAUUUAUGUUUCUUUUUUUGUGUUGUACUUGCAUGCACCGAGCUCGUCUUGGGCUCGGUUACAUUAUUAAUAAAAUUUAGCCGUUCAAAAAAAAACCUCUUCAAAAGAGCGACGAAGAUAGGAAUCGAAUCUCCGAAGCAGAACAAACGGCGGCGAUGGAAUGUUUCCGAUCAAUAAAGGUGAUGAGAUCCGAAAUUGUGUUGGAACAACAUCAGCAACGAAACUAUUAUGAUUAGGUUCGUGCGAUUUCAAAGAGAAGAUGAGAGAUUGCGAGGGGUAGAUUGUGAGAACGGCGAGAGAACUACUCAGACUAUGAUUAUUUAAUCUACAAGAGAUGUUAUAAUGACACUCUCUAUCACACUCCACGUAACACACACCAAUCAUAAUUUGCCACAUCAUCCCUCUCUUUUAUUAUUUUACCGAUUAAUUAACUGGUUGUCCAAAUUGAGAUUAUGCAAUAUUCACAAGCAAAAAAUUAAAAAUAAAAUAAAAUUCUCUUUAUCAUUUUUUAUUGGCUUGAUUACCUGCUUUUACUAAUUAGAUAGAUCUGAUACAACAUGUAGGGGGUGAGAAUAUGUCAGAUUGUAUUUUUUUUAAAUAAAGAAGGCCAAUAUUUUUUUUAAAAGUCUAUUUAGCUAAUACAACAAGUAGUUUAAUUACGAGCUUAUAAUUUAUCAUUUUUUUCUUCCAAUAUUACCCCUAUCAUCUUACAUAAAAAAAUUAAAUAUUAAUUAAAUAUAUUUUUUUUACGUCAUUUCAUACUUAUAAGCUAGUUCAACCGCUAAUUUUAUUAAACACUACAAAUUCAAUCAACUAGCUUAUUCGCUAUAGCUAAAAUCUAGCUUAUAAAUUAUCUGUUAUUCGCUGUAAGCUAAAAUCUAAGUUAUAAAUUACUCCGUAUCUUUUAUAAGUUCAUCUCUAUAAAUAGCUUAUCAACUCUAUUCGUUAUUUUUUACAAACAAACCUAGUAGCUUAUUUCAUAUAUAUGACGAUUGUUACUGUAAAUGUGAACGCUUUUACAUGUAGGAAUAAUAAUUUGUCAAAUUACUGGGUUUAACCGCUUGUGCCUGUGCGAAACCAGCGACCAUUAGUUUUUGUUUUGAUUCACACUACUUACCUCAGCUAAUUUCAUUGACUUUUUGACUUGUUAUGUAUAAUAGUGAACACUUGUAUAUAUUUUUAUAUUUUCUACAAUUUCUUACAGAGAAAAACACAUCCAUUCAAGCCUACAACAACUUUCAACAUUAACAUCAUUAAAAAAAAAACAAAAAAAAUAUCCAUUCAAAUUCAACGCUUGUGUAAUUGGUUAAUCCAACAAUUUGGAUUUUAAAUUCUAUUUCACACAAUAAAAUAAUCUUAACCGUUGAUUUGAGAUCGAACAUCAUAAACCAGUGUCGUAUCUUCUUUCUAUAAUGAUGAAAAAAAUAAUCUCGUCUCUUAAAAUAUCCACAAUCAACCGAACCACAAAGUCUGCUAUCAACUACACGUUCAAUGCAUUCGUGAUUCAUUGAGAUUAAACUAUCCAUAUUUCAAGAUGUACAUUUUUUGUUAAUGAGGUUUCUUUAGAACGAAUCGUUGAGGAGAAUUCGAGCUCGAUUCCUAACGGAAACAAUUGUUGGCUAGACUUCACUAACCUUGAUGUUAAACUCUGGAUUAUCAGCCUCAUUCGUCCUAGAAUGUUAAUACAAAAAAUAUAUUUAACUUCAGAAAACUAGUCGUCUAUAUUACAAUCGAAGUCGUCUCUCUAUCCAACGACUGCAAAUAAACCGAAGGAUCUAGAUUGAAUGCAAUCAGCACCCAUGAUUGUGUACAUUCGGUCAAUGAGAUUUAGACCAUUCAAUUAAAAUCAGACAAUUUAUAUUUAACGAUCAGAAAUUUUAUAUUUUAAAAUGUUAAAUCUGUAUUUAACUUUAAACCGUUUAAUUUUAAUCAGAAGGCUAUAAUGCACUGACCGUAUCAUGACGACUACACUGAAUCCUGUUUCUAAACAGAAUGUGUAAAUGCAUCAAAAUUUUGACAGAGAUUUCUAACCAACUUCCACUACACCUACAGUUCUUCAUAAACCGUACCAUAAUUAACAUUUAAUAACACCAACAAGGCCACAACAAAACACUAUCCUCUCAUUUUCUCCCACAUACAAAUUAAAGUAAAAAUUCAUUCAACAUUAAAGAAACAAAAACAACAACAGCAUGACCAUGGACCGAACAUCAUCACAAAGCAGUUCAUCAGAUUCACCAUCAAGAGACACAAAAGUCUUAUCAAUAGAAUGUUUCAGAGGAAGUUCUAAAUCAGAUGAAUGGACAGGUGACAUGUUACAAACUGGUGAUAUAGUUGAAGAGCUUCGAGUUGGUGGUUCUGCUAACUCACUGAUUCGGUUUAAAUCUCCUUUUAAGAAUGGUAAAACUGGUGUUAAUAAGAUUCUUCAAGAAGCUUAUAAGAAGAAAGACACUUCUAUCCUUGUAAGAGUUCGUCGUGGAAUUGAUGAGUUUGUUGAGUUACAAGGUUGUAUUGUUCCUAAUGAUUUGUCUGGUAAUAAGAAGAGUUAUGUUCUUAGGUCUAUUACUGAUCCUAAUUAUCUUGUUGGUUUUUUGGAUCGAACUGAAGCUGAAUGCUUCCAACUCCAAGGUGAUUACUUAGUUAUACUUCUUAAUUUUUUGCUUAAAUUAUUGCUUUUUUGAAGUUGAUUAAUUGAUUAAUGACACGCAAACACGAUACAUAUAUGUAAUUAUAUGUGUUGGUGUUACAUCGGUGUCAGACACCGAGACAUGUCUAAUCAGAGCCAAAGCCACUUACGGGCUUCGUGCAUGUUUGAAUUAAAAGUGACUUAUUUUGUUGAAACUCUACCGUGUGCCUUUUAUAAAAUUACUGUGACUUACUACUGUAAUUCUGCAAAAAAUCACCGUUAAUUCAAAUAGGACUUUGUUGCUUUUGGUUGGUUGAUUAGUAGGCACAUGGUAGUUACUAGUUAUACACGGUUGGUCUUUUCUGGUACAAAUUUUUGUGUAAUUGAAGAUUAGUUAUUUAGUUAUGUGUAAAAUAAUUUUAAUUAUUUUUAGUGAGUUAUACUACCUUACAACUAACUAGUACUGCUAUAGUGACAGGAAAUAAAAGCACACGGACAAGGUAGGUAGGCACUGCUUUCUUAUCUUGUUUCUGUUAGUUUAUAGAUCUCAGACCCCCCUCACAUUUGCCAACACUUCAUGUUACCUGUUUUGGCAUCACAGCGUACCACCGUGAUUUUCAAAAUUAUGGUGGCUUAUUGUGAUGCCAAAACCGUCCUUAGUCUCAACGACACUUCAGAUUAAAAGUGCUACAGUGUCCAAUACAUAUUGAUGAUGACACAAUACUGAUACAUAUAAUUACAUUCAAUCAUUUCAAAUUUUUUAAAUUAGUAUAUUGGUGUCUACGUUUUAGUAUCGUGUUUGGUGUCUCAGCCUUUGUUAGUUAUCCAUAGCUUUUGAAUUACUUUAUUUUUACCAGUAUCUCUGUUUAGGAUACUGUUACCUAACCUGAGUCUCAAAUAAUAAAUAUCCAUUAAAUGAGUAUUUAUUCAAGACAUUAACUUCACAUCUGAAAGCUGUAAACUUUUGCUAGAUUAAGCCAUCAAGUUGCGUGUUACUCAUGAUUAUGAAUCCUUUUUGUAUAUGAUAUUGACUUUUAGUUGGUUCCCUUAUUUUUUGUUAUCCUAGCUAUCUUUUGGUUAUGCAUGGAUCAUCAACAAUUUUCACAUGUUUAGAUUAGUAAGGAAAGUAAAGAGAGGCUGUACACUUGUGAUUGUUAUUGCUUUAUGGCAUACCGUAAUCGGACAGCAGUAGUUUUUUGCGAUUCAUCAUCUUAAGCAUUUCACCUAUACAGGUCUCAUGCUUGGGAUGUGAACCGUCAAAAAAUAUUUGGUAUAUAUAACACUAGGCCAAAAGGACUUAAAUCGCAUGUUGGUCGAGUUAUAUUUACAAAUGAUGCUCGGCCCAUGAUCUGUAUACUCGGUCCAUCGUUCUAUUGUCCGAAAUGAACAUUAUAAAAGGAGAAGGGCUAAAGAAGAAAAACCAAGUCAUUUACUCAACCUAAACGAGAAACAUCCCGAUCUUGAGCAUGGUAUAUCGCCGCAAAUGUCACAAAAAUUCCAUCUCGGAACAUUAAAAUUGAAAAAUAGCUGGUGAUACACAUCUUACAUUACAUACAUCUUCAUUUAUGUUUAGGAGUUUUACUGCUACAUGAUUUCAACCUCUCGAUUUGUGCAUGAUAAUAUUUUGCUGUUACUUUUUUUGUUCAGCAAUGCAGUUACAGAUUAUGACUUAUAGUUUAUGAUAUCUUCAUCUAAUAUAAAACUUCAAUUUUCAGCUACAAGGACUAGUAGGAUGGUAAAUGAGCUAACAAGUACCCGAGUACAGGAUGGAUUUGUUUCCUAUCCAUGGGAGAGGAGGAUGCAGGAGUUGCUAUCAGUUCCCAAUUCUAGCAACUUUAUUUCCAUAUUACUUCUUCCCAAAGCUUCAGAUAGGGUAGCUUCUCGCUACAAUGAUGUGGAGGACACCUUAGCCAGGGCAAAUGCAUGGAUUAAUGCAGCUCAAGCUUCAGGGGUCCCUAUCGUCUUUAUGAAUAUUCAAACUGAGUCCUUACUUACAAAGGUAAAACCGUCAACUCCCUGACCAUUUUACAACUAUAUUCGAGGAGAUUUAAACUCAGUCUCUUGAGAUUAUAAGGUCAAACUCUUAACGGUGAGUUGACACUCCGUAGGAUUUGUCUGUGAUAACUAUAGUUUCUCUUUUAUUUGUGUGACAGAUAUCUGGAGAGACGGCUUCUUCCACCGUAAACACAGGAUCAUUAUCUGAUUUAUGCAACAUUGCAAAUGCAAGCCUUUAUGGUUUUGAAGAUUAUCAUGGAGUAGACAUCGGUGUUGUUAGAGCAAUUCGACUAUGGUAUGCUCCGAUGGGAGGAGAGUUAUCAAUAGAGAUAAAACUAAAAGAUGAUGACACAAAGCUUGGCUUCGCCAUUAGUCGUACAGAAGAGGUCUCUCUCUAUAGAUCUUUCUUACAUGCUAUAAACCAUUGACAUAGACACAAACACCGAACACAACACUGAUAAUAAUUUAAGAAAAUAGAAACAAUUGAAUUUGAAGUGAAUUUGAAGUGUUAGUACUCCAUAUCAUACACUGAUACACAUGCUUAUGUUAAAGAGACACUUCUAUUGUUGAAUAUUUCAUCUAAUAAUUUUGUGAUUAACAGGGUUUUAUAUUCAUCUCAUCAUCAGUUAUCGAUGAAGGUAAAGAAAAUUCACCGGCCACACGGUCAGGGCUAAGCAAUCUAUACAAACUAGCAACAGACACAUCAAGGUUAUUGGUAGUUUCAAGGAUUUCAAAUCAAAGAGUCCUUCCAUGGAUGGUGUCUUCAACAGGAGCAAUUCGAUGUUACGACACAGUUUCAUUGAGCCAGAAACUCUCCUUACACCGACAUACUAAAGUUCCUAUUCUCCUACAUGUCUUCCUUUGGGACAGAACAAUGACUACUUCAAGUGUAGGAAGCACAAAACCGCGACCCUUGUCUCCCUCUGUGUUGCCAUUACCACGCGAAGUUCAACUGGCACACCAACCAAAUGAGAACCAAGUACAGCCAUUGUCAUGUGAAGGAUCUGAUUCAGGUGAUAUCAAUAUCAGUAAUAGUUCUCAGCCCACACAGCUCGAGAGAGGUGCAGCUGGAGAUGUUUCGUUCAGAUUCCAGGACUUCUCUUUGUCCUCCACCACGUCCAAGUGGGUAUGAACAUGAUGAUAUAUCUCAUUAAAUGUUUAGAUACACGGUGAGUUUAACAAAAUCACAGUGACACCGUGAUUUUGUUGAAGUUUGAAUGUAUAUUUUUUGCUAAAAUCACCGUAAUUCUGAUAAACUCACCGUCUAUCCAAACAUGCAUGCUCCUUUUUGUCCGUCCACUUUGUUUCAUUGUUGUACAUACAAGGUCUUGAGGCUCUUACACUAAAAAAAAAGGUUAAAUUAGUGACGGAAAUUUAGAGAGGAAAAAUAUGAAAUCUUUCUAAAAUUUGUGACGAAAGGAUUAGAGAGAUAUUUCAUUUUUUACCGUCACUACUUUUCAUCACUAAUUUUAUUAUGUAGUAAUUAAUUUGUGAGGGUUAGAGUAUGUUUUGUUUCAUUAGCAUGUCGACACACCAGAAGUAAAAGACAUAACAAAGCUUGUAGAAUUGCUUUUUGAAAUUAUGGGAUAAGCCUUUGUCUUUUCUUAUAAUUUUGAAGAGGGAUAAUGAGGUUACUAUAUGAAUGAAUGUGACUACUAUUUAAAUACUACUAACUACUAAGAAUGUUUGUGCUUAGUAGGGACUACUUAUUUGAAAGAAUAAAUAAGUUGUUCAACUUUUUUGAAAAUGGUUGGUAUGUCGGCGCCUGCAAUAUGACAGUACUCUCAUAUCAUACUCAUAAGUAAAUUUUUAGAAUGCAUUUCUUCUUGAUGAAAGACUUUUUGAUGUUGAAUGCCAAUAAUAUUAUACUGUCAGAGGCUCAGAGCCAGUGAGAAUAUUUGGGGCUACAUGUUGCUUUGUGUCAAUUGUUUUGAACCUAUAUAUUUUAAGAAAUUUGUUGGAUGAAUUCAUAUGAAUUUGCACUUAAUUAAACUAAUUUAUUACAUAAAUAUAUAUUUUUUCUUAUAAUGAGCUGAAGAUCGAACCCAUGAUCUCUAACAUACUAUCAAAAUCUCUCACCACUAGACCAAAUCUAUAAAUAUUUUUAUAAUCUCUGUUUUAAAGUUUUUUUUUUUUUACUAUAACAAGUCUUGAAGAUUAAAUUCAUUUAAACUCUACUAAAAAAAUAAUAUCAUAAGAUUUACAACUCAUAUUCAAUUUUGUAGAUGAGUGCAUCACAAUUUUUAAUAUUGCAAUUGGUUAAGGUAAAAUUAAAUGGAUAAUUGAUAGUGGAAUUAUGGAGAAGAAAAAAUUAAUAUGUAUUGAACGAGAAGUAUGAUUACUCUCUUCGAGGGUAGAAAAGCCUCCUAAAGAUUAAUUUCUCAUUUUUCAUAAUCAUUCCAUAAGCCAAUACAAACUUAUAUAGGAAUUUCCUUUACAUAAUUAGUAACCAAAUAAUAACAAAAAUAUUAACAAACUUAUUCUAAAAUGUAAAUGAUUCAUUCAAUUUUAGGCUUGACACUUUAGUUGGACCUCUAGGAUCAUAACAUUACCCACCCCUUUUAAAAUCAAUCUUAUCCUCAAGGUUGUGAAAAUUACACCUAGAAUUUUACCCGGAUCCCAUUGCUUGAAGUGCAAGGACCUAGUUGAUGUAUACACACACACACACACACAUAUAUAUAUAUAUAUAUAUAUAUAUAUAUAUAUAUAUNNNNNNNNNNNNNNNNNNNNNNNNNNNNNNNNNNNNNNNNNNNNNNNNNNNNNNNNNNNNNNNNNNNNNNNNNNNNNNNNNNNNNNNNNNNNNNNNNNNNNNNNNNNNNNNNNNNNNNNNNNNNNNNNNNNNNNNNNNNNNNNNNNNNNNNNNNNNNNNNNNNNNNNNNNNNNNNNNNNNNNNNNNNNNNNNNNNNNNNNNNNNNNNNNNNNNNNNNNNNNNNNNNNNNNNNNNNNNNNNNNNNNNNNNNNNNNNNNNNNNNNNNNNNNNNNNNNNNNNNNNNNNNNNNNNNNNNNNNNNNNNNNNNNNNNNNNNNNNNNNNNNNNNNNNNNNNNNNNNNNNNNNNNNNNNNNNNNNNNNNNNNNNNNNNNNNNNNNNNNCACUAGAGAAAUGAAGAAAUGAUUUAGAAAUAAUUUUGACAGAAUUGACUCAUGAAAUUCAUGAUUUCUCUUAUGUAUUUUCUGUCUCCUAAGUGUCUCUAUUUAUAGAGAAACUUAUGUCAAAUGAUGAAUGGACACAACCUUUGAAAGGAUUUCAAAAAUGUAAAUUUGAAUUUCAAAUUAACCAUCGCAACCUUUCAAACAUAUUUUGGAAAAUAUCCAACACUUUACCCUCCAACACUCCACUAAGCACUUUGUUAUACCUUAUGUGCUUAUGAACAAUACACAAUUAUGAUCUAAAUAAGCAAGUACCUCAGCAACGUAGAUAACAAUGGGUGUGCCACGGUGAAAGACCUAUACAACUGAUUCACAUUAGCCAAAGUAUCCGUGCUUUUAGAGUAUAAAAUGAAUCUUGGCACUAAGAUAAAAAACAAGCAUUGACACUACUAGAAAGACAACAACAAAAAAGUCGUUGGUAAUGUCACUUCUCUAGUCGUCUUUGUAGGGGCCAUGUGACCCUCGAUUACCGGUUAUUUGGCGGCGAUAAGACACCAAAAUUACUAGGGGCAAUAGAGCUUCUAGAUGGAGACGAUGGAGCUUCAAUAUUUGACUAAUUAAAAUGAAGAAAACAAAAUUGAGAUCGGGAAAAAAUAAUGUCCAAAGAAAAAUGAAAGAGAAUCGAAGCUUCUAUAGCAAGAAUGACUAUUUCAUUAUUUUAGGGACAUAUAUGAAAACAAUGAAAUAAAAAUAUGGAGAAUGUUAACAUGUGCCUUAAGGCACAUGUUAAGGAAAUAAAAAUAGAAAUCAUUAAAUGCUAAUUUGUGUUUUUUAACAUUUGAAGCAUUAAAUUUCUAGCAUCAUUAAAUGUUGAGUUUUUAUAUUUGGAUAUCUUAACAUGUGCCCUUAGGGCACAUGUUAACAAGACCCUACCCAAUAAAUAUUAAACAAAUGAGAUUUUACCAUUUUAUGGAAAAUAUGAAUAAGAGAAAUGUNNNNNNNNNNNNNNNNNNNNNNNNNNNNNNNNNNNNNNNNNNNNNNNNNNNNNNNNNNNNNNNNNNNNNNNNNNNNNNNNNNNNNNNNNNNNNNNNNNNNNNNNNNNNNNNNNNNNNNNNNNNNNNNNNNNNNNNNNNNNNNNNNNNNNNNNNNNNNNNNNNNNNNNNNNNNNNNNNNNNNNNNNNNNNNNNNNNNNNNNNNNNNNNNNNNNNNNNNNGAGAUGUUGAUGUUGUUGGUUGUUGAAGUUAGGAAAAGGGAAACCCGCGGUAGUAUAAUUUGUCAUUUUCACAUUAAAAAAUAAUAAAGGAAUUAAAUUAAACAAAAGUUGCUGUAAAAACAAAAAGAAAGAAGAUGUAAAAUUAUAGAAAUGCCCUUAUUUAUAUACUCCUUUUUUUUUGUGGUUGAUAGACGAAAUAAAAAAGCCAUUGAAAACUCAUAUACACAAAGUGGAGUGAUCGGGGUUCGAACCUCGAUCCUAACGUCCGACACUAGCAAUUUUGGCAUUUCUGGAUGUCGAGCUAGAAUUUGUGGACUUUACUCCCUUUUUUGUUGUUAUGUUUACUAAAUUCUCUUGUUUCACACAUAUACUAGAAAUUUGUGUAAUAAAAAAAAGGCUAAAUUGUAGUUUUGGUCCUUCAUAUUUUUUAACUGUGCGACUUUUGUCUCCCUACUUUCAAACGAGCGAUUAUGGUCCACCUACGUUUCUUAAUUGUGUGAUUUUGGUCCCCUACAUUCCUCCAUUUGCAUUUCUUGGUCCAUGUUGACUAUUUUGACAAAAAAAAAUAACGAGCGAUUUUGGUCCCCUACAUUUGCCCCCUUUUGCAUUUUUUGGUCCAUGUUGACUAUUUUGACAAAAAAACGGCUGACAUGGAUUUUUUUGACACAUGUCUUAAUUAUAUUGGACAACCUAUAAAAAAAAUUAUAUAUUUUUUUUUGAAAAAAAAAAUCAAGGAAGGGUCACCUGAAUCUGUUGAAGCNNNNNNNNNNNNNNNNNNNNNNNNNNNNNNNNNNNNNNNNNNNNNNNNNNNNNNNNNNNNNNNNNNNNNNNNNNNNNNNNNNNNNNNNNNNNNNNNNNNNNNNNNNNNNNCUAUAAAAAAAUUAUAUAUUUUUUUUUGAAAAAAAAAAUCAAGGAAGGGUCACCUGAAUCUGUUGAAGCUAGCCGCCUGCAUACAAUGUUCCAUGCCAUGGCAGAUGCAAGAGCUGAUCUCAUUAAAUUGGCAGAUUGAUUACAUAAUAUGAUGACGCUAGAUGCAUUGCCGGUUGUCAAGCAGUAGAGGUUUGCAAUAGAGACUUUGAAGAUUUUUGUACCUUUGGCCAAUCGCUUAGGAAUAUCUAAUUGGAAGGAACAAUUGAAAAACUUAUGUUUUAAGCAUCUCAACCUAGUGCAGCACAAAGAGCUUUCGUCGAAGCUUCUGCAAUUGAGAGAUUAGAGCAAGCACUCAGAGAUGAUGGCAUUUUUUUAAAAAACUCACGUGACCCUUUCUUGUUUUUUUUAUAUAUAUAUAUAUAUAGAGAGAGAGAGAGAGAGAGGUUGUCCAAUAUAAUUUAGACAUGUGUCGAAAAAUUCCAUGUUAACAGUUUUUUGGUCAAAAUAGUUCACAGGGACCAAAAAAUGUAAAAUGGGGCAAAUGUGGGGACUAAAAUCACUAGUUUGAAACUAAGGGAACCAAAAUCGCACAAUUAUGAAACGUGGGGGACCAAAAUCACUCGUUUGAAAUUAGGGGAACCAAAUUCGCACAAAUAGGAAACGCGGGGGACAAAAACUGCAAUUCAGCCUAAAAAAAUUGUCAUUUUUUUACUAAAUUGUCUCUUAUAUAUAACAUUAAAUUUACAUUGAGACUAUGCAAUCAUGUCAAAAAGUAGAACAAUUAAUAAGAAAUACUUUUAGAAGAAUAGUAAUAAAUAAAUUUAAUUUUGGCAAUUUUUGCUUAUAUUUAAGGUCAAUUUUUUAAAAACAUUUUUUUACGUAUCAGUCAGGCGGAUGAAGUCUUUUUUUUUGUAUGAAAAAGUGUGUUUCAAUAUUGUGAUAAACUAAUAAUGUGAGCCAUGACCUUGUAAAAAAGACAAUAAGAUAUUAGGAUCUCUCGAGGCAAACGCAAACCUGGUCACUCGAGGAAUCUUAUCUCCUGCAACUCACUUUUGCUUUUCUGGUUGUGGAGUGGUCGAGUCGGCCCAUCACUUAUUCAUCUCCUGCAGUACUUUUGGUUCUCUUUGGAAAUUAGUUUGUUCGUGGAUUGACAUGUCAUCGGUGGAUUUCACUUCCUUACGUGAUCACUUUGUUCAGAUUGCAUAUUCAGCAGAUGGAUCUCGAGCGCGUCGGUCCUUUUUGCAACUCAUUUGGCUUGCUUGCGUUUGAGUUGUGUGGACGGAGAGAAAUCAUAGAUUGUUCAGAGGUUCAGCAAGCACUUCUCAUCAACUGUUGGACAAAAUCAAGCUUUUUUCCUACUCAUAACCAUGCCCAAGAAAACUUAAAAACAUCCUAGGAUCCGAAGAGGAGACACCCACUCAACAAACAACCACUUAAGUAUAGCAUACUAGACAGGUAAGAUUUGAUUGCAAGAACCGAACAAGUGAUCAAAUGACUCAGACCCUAAACCACAUAAGACACACAUAAAAGCACCAAUAUUCGUAAUGACACCCCGCUUUCAAAGGACAAUGUAUCUCCAACUUCAAAUUCUAUUGAUGUAUUUUAUCCCGAAUAUGACACAAAUUAUUUAGUUGGUACGUAUUUAUAAGAUUUAGUUGGUACGUAUUUAUAAGAAUGGUCUUAUGACUAGGAUGAUUGAAGCUUGAAAUCAAGUAAGAAUAUAUUAUAAGUCGAUUUUGUUGGGGUUUUUGUAGGUUGGCUUCAUUUUGUUAAAAUAAUGAUCUAUCAAGAUGUUGGACCAGAUGUCCCAACAUGUGAGUAUAUCAUCUGGGUACUCUGUUUUCGCGUUCUUGGAAGUUUUAUUUUCACGUGAGAUCUGUUAAAGAUAUUUGGUUGAAGAAUUAAUUCACGCAAGCUUGUGUGCCAAGACGCAUGUGUUUUUGGAAUCUUCAGAAGACGAUUUACAUGAUUACUUGCUCUUUAAGAUUGUUAUAAAAUAUUAAGGGUCUGUUUGGUUCGAGAUUUUUGGAGGGGAGGGGAGGUGAGGGGANNNNNNNNNNNNNNUAGGAGGGGAGCAAAAUCCCUCAUAAGCUCAUUUUUUGCUUCCCCCAAAUUGGGGGGAUUUGGAGGGGAGGAGAGGGAAUGUGAGAUCACUUAUUAUAAUUUUAAUUACAUUCACAAAUUUAUCCCUAAUUUUAUGUUGAAAUCCAAAACUAUCCUUAUUAAAAUUUUAAAGAUUAAUUUCUCUCUUUAUUUCUCAUGCUUUAUCAUUUUAUUCUUAAUUUCUCUCUUUAUAUUAUAAUUAUUAUUAGUUGUUAUAUUUUAUUAUUAAUAAGAGUUUUUUUAGUACAGUAGUGUAAAAUUUUUAUACCAGAUUUUAUGUUAAUAAUUAUCAAUAAAUUCUUUUCAUGUGUUUACAGAUAAUUUACAAAAAUAUUUGGUUAGAACUAUCAUGAAAUUUUAGAAAUUGUUGUGAAUAUAUAGUUUGAUUUGUAUCGAAUAACUAUAAAAUCAUGAAACUUUUUGAUAUUUUUAAGGAUAAAAAAGUAAAUCAAUUUUAAAAUCCCUCCCCUCCCCUCGUGAACCAAACAUAUCUGUAGUUAAAAUGCCUCCUCUCCCCUCCCAUUCUCUCUAUUGAACCAAACACAUACGUAAUUAAAAAAUUUCUCUCCCCUCAAUUAAAAUUCCUCCCCUCCCCCUCUGUUGAACCAACCAGACCAAAGGAAUAAAAAAAUUUGUUUUAAAAUAUAUUCACUGAAGAUUACUGCAGAAAAUAUAAAAGAUUUAUUUCAAAUAAAUCUUUGUGCUUCAAGAAGAUUGUUACUGAAAAUAUAUUUAUGGACAACAAAUAUAUUUAUGGAAGGAAUAUUUUGUGCAAAUAUAUUUGUGGAAAAUAUAUUUUGCCUCUAGAAGAUUUCUUGGAGCUGAAACAUUGUUUAGCCCAUGUGAAGAAAAACACAUGUUGCUCUGGCUAUAUAAGAAAGACUCAAGACCUAGUUUUAUUCACCGAAGCCAUUAUUCAUCAAAGAUGUAGUCUUUUAGGGUUUCGUGUCUUUGUAAGCCUUGCGCUUUAUUUGUAUACCUCUUUGGUUGUUGCAUCUGUUGAUCAAAACACAGAGAUGGUUUGUUUUAGUUGAUUUGUAUUUGUGAACCACUCCUAAGCUACUAAGUACGAAGUCUGGUUUGUGUUAUUGGAGUGUAUCUCCUUGCAGAUUGUUAUCGAUUAUAAACACAGGUUGUGUUGAUUGAAGGGAGUGAGAUGAGAUCUUAUAUAUAUGAGUUCCUAGGUAGAAAUUAGCACGAGUAGUGAUUAGGCGAGAAGUCGUAAACCGGGGUGUUUGCUGAGGGCUUCAAACUAAUACUAUUAUAGUGGAUUUCCUCCUGGCUUGGUAGCCUCCAGAGUAGGUAAGUUGAACCGAACUAGGUUAACAAAUAACUUGUGUUAUUUAUUCUUCCUGCUGUUUAUUUUAUUUUUAUGUGUCCAUUAUAUUCUGUGUUGGUGCAAUGUUGGAACAUUAGACGCAACAUCUCAAAAUUUCAGAUUUUGUUUGAUUUUCAUAUGUUAUGAAAAUCAAUUUUGUUAAUAUUUUUAAUAUUAUGGAUAUUACAUGAAAUAAUAUAAAGAUAACAUAUUUAACAUAUUUAAUUGUGGAUAUUACAUGCAACGAUUAUGUAUUUAAUAAAGAUGUAUAUAAAAGGAAAAAAGACUCUGAGGUGAAUCAACCCGGAAAAUAAAAAUAAAGAGAAGCACUAAAACACAUCUUAAAACUGAAAGGGAAUCAAAUGUCGAAAAAAUAGAUACGAAAUAGUAAACACUAAUCAGCGAACAACCCAGUUUUUUAUAUAAGCUAGAUCAAACAAUCUAUUUACAAAUUACGUGCAAAAUCUCAGCAAGCCAAAAACAAUGUUAGACCAAAGUCAUCAUCAUGAAAUAUCGGACAUCAAAAGCACCUAAGUUCCAAUUGAAGAAUUUAGAUCAAGAGCUAAUCACACACAAAACAAGAGGUACUAAUACUUAAUAUAAUUGAAUUACGAUCUAUUAGGAAUGAAGUUAAUUUCGAAUCAGUUUAGUUGAAGUCAAGUCAUGCUGAAAAAGACUUUUAACAGUUUAGCAGUGCUCACAUGUUGGUUAUGCUGCAAAGGCGACAAUCUCAAGAGUUCUUCAUCUCCAGUAAGACAAAAUACGAUAACUUUCAGCACUACUUCCUUCGUUGCAACCAACUCAAACACACACACAUCGCCUUCGUCUAGGCGAAGGCGAUGUGUGUGUGUGUGUUUGAGCUGGUUGCAACGAAGGAAGUAGUGCUGAAAGUUACUGUAUUUCGUAUUACUGAGCUUUGCAGAAGAACCAACAUGUGAGCACUACUAAACUGUUAAAAGUCCCUUUCAGCAUGACUUGACUUCAACUAAACUGAUUCGAAAUUAACUUCAUUCCUAAUAGAUCGUAAUUCAAUUAUAUUAAGUAUUAGUACCUCUUGUUUUGUGUGUGAUUAGCUCUUGAUCUAAAUUCUUCAAGUAGAACUUAGAUGCUUUUGAUGUCCAACAUUUCAUGAUGAUGACUUUGGUGUAACAUAGUUUCUGGUUUGUUGUUGUUUUGUACUUGGUUUGUAAAUAGAUUGUUUGAUCUAACUUAAAUCAGAAACUAGGUUGUUCGCUUACUAUCUUUAAUCAGAAUGUCCUACUUAUCAAAGUUAUAUCAUUUACCAUUCAAGAAUGCAACACAGUUAAUAUUCAUGUCUGCAACAGUUAACCUAAAUUUGAAAAAGAAACACCUUAAGACAUUAUUUAACAUUUAGAUUUAGAGAUUAAUAUGUACAACUUUCAAAUUUUCCUUUUUCGUAUCCAUAAGUUUUAAGUUGUAAACUAAUGCACAACAAAGGCUUCACAAGUUAAGAAUCUAAUUUUACAUAAAAUAAAAUCUUUUAUGCACACAAAAGGCAUAGUUUCACAUUCGUCAAACACCGAUAGAAAUUCAUGUGAAAAUCUACAUUAGGUGAAGCACAAUGAAGUGGACAAGUAUGUCCUUCAACGCAAAUUUUUCCAGCUGCUAAACACUAAGCACAAAUUUUUAUAUAUAUAUCACACACCUUAUAAAGAAAAAUUAAUUAGAGAGAAUCUAACACUAAACACAAUGCUAUGCUCAAUUGAAAAUGAAAAUGUUUAGAUCUAGAGCAAAUAAGAAAUUCAGAUCUACAGCAAAAAUGUGAAAAUGAAUAAUAUUUUUUUUUUACCUAAAAUUGUUGAUAGAGAAAUUUAGAAUGAGACAAAUUGAUUGAAAUAUGUUAUCAGUUUUCCAAUUUUGGCCUAAAAUCGAAUCGAUCUAGCAUAUAAGAACGAAAUGAAGGGAAAUCGGAACCCUAAAUAAAACAACAUGUUGAAGGCAAGAAUUUGUGAGGGAAAUUUGAAUCCUAACGUAACGAGAAUGAAACUAGAGAAAUCUGUGAAAGAAUCUACCUGACUGAACUUUGUUUUGAGUAACCUCUUCAAAAGAGCGACAAAGAUAGGAAUCAAAUCUCUGAAGCAGAACAAACGGCGGCGAUGGAAUGUUUCCGAUCAUAUGAGGUGAUGAGAUCCAAAAUUGUGUUGGAACAAGAACAGCGACGAAACUAUUAUGAUUAGGUUUGUGCGACUUCAAAGAGAAGAUGAGAGAUUGCAAGGGGGUAGGUAGAUUGUGAGAACGGCGAGAGAAG
rnacentral:lncRNA from 1 species